rnacentral:rRNA from 1 species
RGAGGGUGCGAGCGUUGUCCGGAAUCACUGGGCGUAAAGGACGCGUAGGCGGCCUGAUAAGUAGGGGGUGAAAUCCUGCGGCUUAACCGCAGGGCUGCCUUCUAAACUGUCAGGCUAAAGCACGGUAGAGGCAGAUGGAAUUCCCGGUGUAGCGGUGGAAUGCGUAGAGAUCGGGAAGAACAUCAUUGGCGAAGGCGGUCUGCUGGGCCGUUGCUGACGCUGAGGCGCGACAGCGUGGGGAGCAAACAGGAUUAGAUACCCUGGUAGUCCACGCCGUAAACGAUGGACACUAGGCGUCGGGGGGAGCGACCCUCCCGGUGCCGUCGCUAACGCAGUAAGUGUCCCGCCUGGGGAGUACGGCCGCAAGGCUG